rnacentral:rRNA from 1 species
ACGUGAUCUGAGUUCAGACCGGAGUAAUCCAGGUCAGUUUCUAUCUAUACAGAGCUUUUUCUAGUACGAAAGGACCGAAAAAGCAUGGCCUAUACAAUAUGCAAGCCAUACUUAUUAAUUUAUGCUUUAAACUUAAUAAAUAAAUAAUCUAUUCUUAUUCUCAAGAAAAGAGCU